ACUAAAAGUCGUAACAAGGUUUCCGUAGGUGAACCUGCGGAAGGAUCAUUAAAGAAAUUUAAUAAUUUUGAAAAUGGAUUUUUUUUUUUGUUUUGGCAAGAGCAUGAGAGCUUUUACUGGGCAAGAAGACAAGAGAUGGAGAGUCCAGCCGGGCCUGCGCUUAAGUGCGCGGUCUUGCUAGGCUUGUAAGUUUCUUUCUUGCUAUUCCAAACGGUGAGAGAUUUCUGUGCUUUUGUUAUAGGACAAUUAAAACCGUUUCAAUACAACACACUGUGGAGUUUUCAUAUCUUUGCAACUUUUUCUUUGGGCAUUCGAGCAAUCGGGGCCCAGAGGUUAACAAACACAAACAAUUUUAUCUAUUCAUUAAAUUUUUGUCAAAAACAAGAAUUUUCGUAACUGGAAAUUUUAAAAUAUUAAA
rnacentral:misc_RNA from 1 species